CAGUCGCCGCGGUAAUACGGAGGGGGCUAGCGUUGUUCGGAAUUACUGGGCGUAAAGCGCGCGUAGGCGGCUUUGUAAGUCAGAGGUGAAAGCCCGGAGCUCAACUUCGGAAUUGCCUUUGAGACUGCAUCGCUUGAAUCCGGGAGAGGUGAGUGGAAUUCCGAGUGUAGAGGUGAAAUUCGUAGAUAUUCGGAAGAACACCAGUGGCGAAGGCGGCUCACUGGACCGGUAUUGACGCUGAGGUGCGAAAGCGUGGGGAGCAAACAGGAUUAGAUACCCCUGUAGUCCCUGUCUCUUAUAC
rnacentral:rRNA from 1 species